UUUAAUACCCAGGUCAUCAAAGGGGCAGAGAUUCUUGAAGUGUUGCACAGUCUCCCGGCAGUUCGGCAGUAUCUGUUUUCUCUCUAUGGAAUGCCGUUACUCCGUUUUCUUCCAGUCGUUAGCGGUCGUAGAGCAGGAGAUGAAAAAGGACUGGCUUUUUGCGCCUCAUUACCGAUACUAUGUGAGAGAAAUGCGGAUCCAUGCAUACAGCCAGCUGCUGGAGUCAUAUAGGUCAUUAACCCUUGGCUAUAUGGCAGAAGCAUUUGGUGUGGGUGUGGAAUUCAUCGACCAGUAAGUAACAGAUUUAUGCAUCCGAACUGCCUUUUAAUGUAUGUUUUCAACCUUUUCUGAAUUUACACGGCUUCCCUCAAUUUUAGGGAAGAAAAUUUCUAAAGUAUUAUUUUACAGGAGCCUCCUUGUCUGCCUUCCUCAGGACAGUUUCCAGUGAGACGAGCAAAGCGUGGCAUGGGAGUACUCUGCUUGAGUGACUGCACCAGUUAUUGGGGCUGCAGAUUUUAUAUUUAGUGGUAUCUGAUAAUGUUGGAGUUAUAAUUUAUAUUUAUGGCAUUUCCUCUAAUAACAGUGGAGUUAAUUUUUGUCAGGUUGGUGACAAAAUGUGGGACUAGAACACUGGAAUCACUGAUUGGACAAACUCUGUUCCUGAUUGGUGCUCUUGUAGAUGUCUCUGCACUUCAAGUAAGCACUAGAGGAGUGUGGAGAGGAGUGUAGACAGUGGGACUGUCUGCCUAGAUAUAGCACGCCCGAGGAGGGAAGCUUGCUCUGCUUGAAUAUUGUCAGCCAUGUGAAGAGCUCCAUUUGCAGAGAAGGAAAAGUAGUCAAAACAGCUUAAGGAUGGG
rnacentral:sRNA from 1 species